rnacentral:rRNA from 1 species
ACGUAGUUUGACUCCGUGGCUCGAAGGACGAACGCUGGCGGCGUGCUUAACACAUGCAAGUCGAGCGAGUGGCGAACGGGUGAGUAACGCGUGAGGAACCUGCCUCAAAAGAGGGGGGACAACAGUUGGAAACGACUGCUAAUACCGCAUAAGCCCACGGUGCCGCAUGGCACAGAGGGAAAAGGAGCAAUCCGCUUUGAGAUGGCCUCGCGUCCGAUUAGCUAGUUGGUGAGGUAACGGCCCACCAAGGCGACGAUCGGUAGCCGGACUGAGAGGUUGAACGGCCACAUUGGGACUGAGACACGGCCCAAACUCCUACGGGAGGCAGCAGUGGGGAAUAUUGCACAAUGGGGGAAACCCUGAUGCAGCGACGCCGCGUGAGUGAUGAAGUAUUUCGGUAUGUAAAACUCUAUCAGCAGGGAAGAUAAUGACGGUACCUGACUAAGAAGCACCGGCUAAAUACGUG